AACACAUUUAUUUUCUAGUGGAUAGAAAUGAUUUCAAGAAAUGCAUUGAUCGCUCUUUUCUUAGUUACAAUUCUUCUUAUUUCCUCACAAGUUGGAGAUGCUCGAGAACUCUCUGAGAAAUCCAAUAGAGUUUCGUUAGACGAAGUUGAGCAGCUAGAUGCUGAUCAAUAUGAGUGUGGAGUGCCCGGCUGUUGUGGAAGUGAUACACUGAGAUUUUGCCGCUGCUGCCGUUAACAAAUUCUCAUAUUAUAUAUUUAAAUUUUUAUCAUUAUUUCUGGAAUUUCAGUUAUGUAAAUUGUUAGUAUAAACUUGUAUUGAGAUGUUUCCCGAAUAUUCAUCCAAAAAAAUUGUGCAUUUCAAUUU